rnacentral:rRNA from 1 species
UCCAGACUCCUACGGGAGGCAGCAGUGGGGAAUAUUGGGCAAUGGGCGCAAGCCUGACCCAGCAACGCCGCGUGAAGGAAGAAGGCUUUCGGGUUGUAAACUUCUUUUGUCAGGGACGAAGCAAGUGACGGUACCUGACGAAUAAGCCACAGCUAACUACGUGCCAGCAGCCGCGGUAAUACGUAGGUGGCAAGCGUUAUCCGGAUUUAUUGGGUUUAAAGGGUGCGCAGGCGGAGGUGCAAGUCAGCGGUCAAAUCGCGGGGCUCAACCUCGCUCCGCCGUUGAAACUGGCGUUCUUGAGUGGGCGAGAAGUAUGCGGAAUGCGUGGUGUAGCGGUGAAAUGCAUAGAUAUCACGCAGAACUCCGAUUGCGAAGGCAGCAUACCGGCGCCCAACUGACGCUGAAGCACGAAAGCGUGGGUAUCGAACAGGAUUAGAUACCCUUGUAAG